UCCGGCUUAUCACCGGCGGUUCCUCUAGAGUGCCCAACUGAAUGCUGGCAACUAAAGGCGAGGGUUGCGCUCGUUGCGGGACUUAACCCAACAUCUCACGACACGAGCUGACGACAGCCAUGCAGCACCUGUGUGACGUCCAGCCGAACUGAAAGACCGGUCUCCCGGUCCGCGACGUCCAAGUCAAGGGAUGGUAAGGUUCUGCGCGUUGCUUCGAAUUAAACCACAUAAUCCACCGCUUGUGCGGGUCCCCGUCAAUUCCUUUGAGUUUUAGCCUUGCGGCCGUACUCCCCAGGCGGGGCACUUAGUGCGUUAGCGACGGCACGGGAGGAGUCGACACCUCCCACACCUAGUGCCCAUCGUUUACGGCGUGGACUAC
rnacentral:misc_RNA from 1 species